rnacentral:rRNA from 1 species
UACGUAGGGUGCAAGCGUUGUCCGGAAUCAUUGGGCGUAAAGCGCGCGUAGGUGGCUUCGUAAGUCUGUUGUGAAAGUCAAAGGCUCAACCUUUGAAUGCCGAUGGAUACUGCGAAGCUAGAGUACGGAAGAGGCGAGUGGAAUUCCUGGUGUAGCGGUGGAAUGCGCAGAUAUCAGGAGGAACACCAAUAGCGAAGGCAGCUCGCUGGGACGUUACUGACACUAAGGCGCGAAAGCGUGGGGAGCGAACAGG